rnacentral:lncRNA from 1 species
AAAGAUUUUGGUAUUUUCCGUACAAAAUCGUAUUAUGGUAGCUACUGGACACGGUUGCGUGAAUUAUGGUGAUUUUUGACAAUUUACUCCUGAAAAUGCCAUAGGGAUACAAAGAAUAGUCCGGAGGCUCCAUCAACGAACCAUGUCUACCCUCAGUAAGUGAGGAAGAAAAAUUCACUAAAGCAUGUGCGUCCCUGUUAUACUAUCGCCGUUCGUGGUUAAAAAUGAC